ACGCUCGACACCUACGGGGGCAGCAGUGAGGAAUAUUGGUCAAUGGGCGCUAGCCUGAACCAGCCAAGUAGCGUGAAGGAUGAAGGCUCUAUGGGUCGUAAACUUCUUUUAUAUAAGAAUAAAGUGCAGUAUGUAUACUGUUUUGUAUGUAUUAUAUGAAUAAGGAUCGGCUAACUCCGUGCCAACAGCGCGGUAAUCUGAGCGGGCUGGCAAGGC
rnacentral:rRNA from 1 species